UAUGUUCUGACUUAUUCUGGAGAGGAGUGGGAGAUAAUAUUAGCAAGAAUUCUUGGGAGGCCAGAACAAACAGCCUACGUACGGAUUGUCGGAAGAAACACAAAGAUGCCAAAAGAAAAAUGAAACCAAAGUAAUAAAUGUCACAUUGGUGCUGAUCCUGAAUGUGAACAAGGCUCAUGUAAGGAAAGUGACCCAGAAAAUAGUUUUAGCUGACAAAGAAGAAAUUUGAGUAAAGGAAUAGUCAAAAUCUGGCUGAUGGAAUAUAUUCUGGUUGCCAUCUUUUUCUGUGGAAUGCCUCUGUAUUUCUUCCUAAGUAAUUACUUCAAAAAAUUAAACUGAACUUUUUAAAAAUGAAGCA